UACAGAGGGUGCGAGCGUUAAUCGGAAUUACUGGGCGUAAAGCGUGCGUAGACGGUUAUUUAAGUCGGAUGUGAAAGCCCCGGGCUCAACUUGGGAACUGCAUUUGAUACUGCCAGACUAGAGUACAGAAGAGGUGACUGGAAUUCCCAGUGUAGCGGUGAAAUGCGUAGAUAUUGGGAGGAACACCAGAUGGCGAAGGCGGGUCACUGGGCUGAUACUGACGCUGAGGCGCGAAAGCCCAGGGGAGCGAACGGGG
rnacentral:rRNA from 1 species